AGCGAACGCUGGCGGCAGGCUUAACACAUGCAAGUCGAACGGGCAUAGCAAUAUGUCAGUGGCAGACGGGUGAGUAACGCGUGGGAACGUACCUUUUGGUUCGGAACAACACAGGGAAAUUUGUGCUAAUACCGGAUAAGCCCUUACGGGGAAAGAUUUAUCGCCGAAAGAUCGGCCCGCGUCUGAUUAGCUAGUUGGUAGGGUAAUGGCCUACCAAGGCGACGAUCAGUAGCUGGUCUGAGAGGAUGAUCAGCCACAUUGGGACUGAGACACGGCCCAAACUCCUACGGGAGGCAGCAGUGGGGAAUAUUGGACAAUGGGCGAAAGCCUGAUCCAGCCAUGCCGCGUGAGUGAUGAAGGCCCUAGGGUUGUAAAGCUCUUUUGUGCGGGAAGAUAAUGACGGUACCGCAAGAAUAAGCCCCGGCUAACUUCGUG
rnacentral:rRNA from 1 species